CCUACGGGAGGCAGCAGUGAGGAAUAUUGGACAAUGGGCGCAAGCCUGAUCCAGCCAUGCCGCGUGCAGGAAGACGGUCCUAUGGAUUGUAAACUGCUUUUGUACAGGAAGAAACACUCCCUCGUGAGGGAGCUUGACGGUACUGUAAGAAUAAGGAUCGGCUAACUCCGUGCCAGCAGCCGCGGUAAUACGGAGGAUCCAAGCGUUAUCCGGAAUCAUUGGGUUUAAAGGGUCCGUAGGCGGUUUAAUAAGUCAGUGGUGAAAUCUGGUCGCUCAACGAUCAAACGGCCAUUGAUACUGUUAGACUUGAAUUAUUAGGAAGUAACUAGAAUAUGUAGUGUAGCGGUGAAAUGCUUAGAUAUUACAUGGAAUACCAAUUGCGAAGGCAGGUUACUACUAAUGGAUUGACGCUGAUGGACGAAAGCGUGGGGAGCGAACAGGAUUAGAUACCCUGGUAGUCCACGCCGUAAACGAUGGAUACUAGCUGUUGGGCGCAAGUUCAGUGGCUAAGCGAAAGUGAUAAGUAUCCCACCUGGGGAGUACGUUCGCAAGAAGAGAACGACAAGUAGUAAGUUAGUACGGCGUAGAGACGUAGACCGAACGGACGACGACGAGGGGAGGAGGG
rnacentral:rRNA from 1 species